UCCAUCCCUCUUCUCUUCAUAUCUUUCUCAAUCCUCAUAUACAUACACACAAUUCUAUCUCCGUAAACUUACGAUCUCAUAGACAUACAACUUUUCGAAACUAACACAAAGUUAAAAUUGUUUAUCUUACAGAAGAAUUCAUUGCCCUUAAGCAAUUCACCACAAAAUAAGAAAUUGUAGAACAACAAUGAGUACUUGAAAUAUAAAUUAGUUACAAUCCAAACAAAUAUAACUGCAACAUCUAGCCAACUUGCAUCUGGUUUUUGAGGAUAAAAUUAAAACUGAAAAGCAAACAAAAGUUUUGUAUCUCACAGUUCAUAGUUUCCACUUUCCAUAAAUAAAGCAAGGCACCACAACCCACAACUAAAGUUCCCUUAUUUACCUACUUUUUAAAACCAACCUUAUAAAUUAUCAUAAUUGAAACAAAUCCAAGAGUAAUAAUUUUUGCCAAACAUCAAAUAAAUCAGUUUUUCAAUGGAUUUGGCAGAAAUAAUCAAAACUAAUUGAUUCUCUAGCUUUUAGUUUUGCUUUUGACUCGUUCUUUUGUCCUCUCUCAACGCUUGGACUUCAUCAUCCAGUUUGAUGUAGUUCUGGACUUUAUCAAUUAUCUGUUAGUACGUAGUGGCUGAAUUCUUGAUUAGAGAAUUCAUGAACUUAAUGUUGGGUGUUCCUUUCUUCAACGCUUCACAUGCUAUCUCAUGAUUUAAUUCUUCCACCUGUAUUGCUUCUACAUUGAAACAUGAGAUAAAACUUCUUAAAGACUUGCUCCUUGGUGGAUUUUCCACAAGUCAAAGGAGAGCUUUUUGGGAGGUAUACAAGUAAUAAAUCUAGACUUAAAUAACAUAGCAAAUUGUGUAAAGUUCUGAAUUGAACAUAGACUCAAAUGUUAGUACCAUUUCUAAGCCAAGCCUGUGACUGUCGACGGAAACAUUUGGCACAACACAAAAUCGUUGACAUCUUAAAGCUGCAUUGUUGUUCUAAAGAUAGUUAGGUAAUUUCCAGGAUCUGUUAUUUCAUUGUAUUUGUCCAAAUUUGGGAGUUUGAACUUGGCAGAAAAAGUCUCUGCUAAGAUCUAUUCUGAUAGGGGCGAGGCAUCGUGCAACCCAUAGUCUUCCUCCUGCUCCUUCUGGUACCUUUGCCCGGCCCGUAUCAGCUUCCAAUCGAAAACUUUUGGAACCUCGUCCGACGAAUCCUCUUCCUCCAGCUUGGCCUUCCCCUUAGAUUGCGUUUGGAUUGCCUCUGUCCGAGUCCUUGGGGAGUCGAUGGAACCUUCCUCCCUUAUCCUAAGAGCCAUGAAGGAGGCUUCCUCCCGAGUUUUAUAUUGUUCAAGAGUGGCGUGUAACCUUUUUACAUACUGGAGCAUCUACUCAUUAUUUAGAUUGCUUAGAACAAUCUCAUUGACCAUUGAGGGUAUAUUUUAUCCACUACUAGGAGUGGAAUAAAUGAUUAUACUCUUAUUGGCAGCAACCUUAGCAACAGAUUGUGAAUUGUCAGCCAUUUUAGAGAAGAAAAAAGAUUUAUUUUUUGAAGAAAAUGAAUGAAAGACCGAUUUCUAAUCCAAUUGAACAGAAAGAAUCCAAUGGAAUAUCCUGGCAAUGGAACCAAAUGAUGUGGUUGAAACGGAAUUGUGCUGCGAUUGAUCAAUUUGUAAGAAAAAAGAAAGUGAGGUGAUUAGCGCUUAUGACAGCCACUCCAACACUCAAGUCAGUGAACUGAAAAAAGGCAAGUAUAUUGAACUGUUUUGAACUCAAGAGUAAUUGUGUAAGAAUGUGUACAAUGUGUACCUUGAUCUCCGUGUUCACCGGUUUUUAUACUGUAAGAAGGUGAAAUUGGUAAUCAAAUUUCCUGAAAAUCCAAUUAGCACCAACUAGUAGAUAGGGGAUCCCACAAUUAUAUGUAAUUUGCUGGAUUGUGUUUUCUAACGGUAACUUUCCGUGAAGUCUCACCCUAAAGUUGAGAGGGCGAGUCUUGAUGAAAAGCCGAAACCUACAGCAUCUGAGUCUUCUUUUCCAUGUAUGAGACCGCGUAUCAUCUAAUCAGACUCUUGCUAUGUGACUUUGUUUUCGAAUGACAACUCAUAACUUAUUUUGAGCGAUUAUUGUGUUAUAUCAAAUGUUUAAUUUAAAAUAAUAUUAAAAUUAUUUCUAAAAUAGUAAGAUUUUUGGUUUCAAUAUCAAUAAGAAUCAAAUUGUACUAAGAAAUAAUUGAUGAAAGAAAAACUAAUCAAUCGAAGUGUUUUCCAACUUGACAAUGUUUAAAGUUAAAAGAGUAAUUAAUUAAUAUUUUUUUAGGAGGAAAAAAAUAUGGAAAAGGGAUGAUAAUGGACUAUAGGUCUUUUCAAGAUUUGUCAAUCGUUUUUAAUUUAUUGAUAUUAAAAUCGUUGAUAAAUUUUAAGUUUAAAUUUCAAUUCAAAUUAAUUGUAUAAAAUGAAAAACUUUCGAGAUUUAAUGAUAGCAGUUAAAAUAUAAGUGAAAGAAUAGCUAAAAAUCUAUAUUGUGCAAUUAUAUAAUUAAAUUUCUUAAUUAGUACCAGUAAAAUUUUAUUAUUUGUAAUUUAGUUGUACUUUCUUAACUAGGGUAAACACGUGAUGAUUUUGAACAUGGUUUUAUCAUUAGAAGAGAGGAUCGGGUUGGGUGAAUUACAUGUGCAAUAAUAUAUAAUUAAGGUUUAUUAGAAAAAAAGUUAUUUUUUUUUAUAUUUUUUCAUUUGAUUUUACAAUUUUAAAUAAUAAAAUUUACUAUUAUUAUAGCGAAUAUCUAAAAUCAAUUUUGAUCAGGCCAUAUUUAAAACCAAUUUUGAUCCAUGAAUCUAUUUUGUUUUGAAGAUUAAAAUAUAACUGAAGGAUGAUAUGAGUUUAAAAAUAUAAUGAAGAAAUUAAAAGUUUUUGCAGAUAUGAUUUGUAAUUCUAAUUAAAAUUAAUUUUAAAGAUUAGCUAAUUAUGAAAAAAUUAAAAAAAUUUUUUUUUUUGUUCAAAAUUAAAAAGUGAGACUAUAAUUAUAAAUAUAUUGAAAAGAUUUGAUUUUCAAUGUUCAAUAUGUUUUGAUGAUGUGAAAUUAAAAAUUAUAAAAUUCUAUAUAGAUAUGAUAAGUGACUAAGAUCAAAAUUAAUUUUAAAUAUUAGUUAUAAUCGUAAUAAAAAUUAAAAAAAAAGAAUUUUAUCGUCUGAAAUUGAAAAGUCAGGCUAAAUGGAGAAAAAGCCAAACAUGAAAUGUGUAUAUAUGAUUAUGACUCAAGACGACUGUUUAGCUUCAAGGCAUGACUCGGUCAUCAUAAUUACGGCUUGUCCACAAGUGCCAAAAACUUUAUAAACACAUUUCUUCUUUAUCGUAAUAAAAGAUACUAGAAUUUCAUAACUAUAUUAAUUUCUAAUGGGAUCUUAUAUCUUAUUGCAAGUAUCAAUCGAUGUCCUUCAGACCCACAACAAUAGGAAAAACUUUGAGAGGAGUCCACAAAAAUAACCAAAAGUCUGAUAUAGCCUUUAUGUUACCGGAAAGAUGUGACAUAAAUAAAGAAUAAAAUUAUAAUUUAAUGGUUAAAAUUGAUUACCGUUCCGAAAUUGAAUUCGACUUUUAUUAAUAUUUAUAUAUAUUCCAAUAGCUUUCAACAUAUUUGAAAAUGGCCUAGCAGCCGCAUGGACAACCCAAAAUAAAAUCUUCCAAGUAUCUCUUGAGGCAGGACUUGUAUCUUUCUUUGCAAAUUGUUCAAAGAGAUUUCUUGUGCACAAGUUUUAUGUGAAAAGUUGGAAGCACUUUGAUUGAAUUUCCGAACAUUAUUCAUUCCUAAGAAGCACAUAUAAAAUUGUAUUAUUGAAGCAAAGCCAUCUAAAACUCAAAGAAUAGAAAAAUCCUUCAACUAUUAGAUGCAUGGAAAAUCAGCCAUAAGGACAAUUUAAAAAUUUUAAUGAUAAUAAAAAAUGUGAUUCAAUAACAAAAAAGUCUAGAUUUUGCAAUAAAAAUCAAAACAUGUAACUCAGACCAAGUCUUCUUUAAAAAAUAACUUGUGCAAAAAAACAUUAAAGAUUUAAGCUUUUAAAAUCUACCUAAAACGUUUAACUUUCACAGGCAACAAACUAUUAUAUUAUGUAAGUCAAUCUUGUUUCAAAAAAAUUCAAGAAUAGAAUGAAAAUCCAAAAAUAAAAAACUGAAACUCAAUUAUACAAGAAAGAGAAUCACUCCACAUAAACCUUUAUCCAUAAAUAUUUCUAUUAACGAAGUGUAAUAAACCUAUCACACUUUUUAAAAAUCUAAUAAAUCUAAUACUCAAAGUAGAGGCUCAACCAUUUUACAUAAAUUUAAUUUAAUAAAAUUAUUUUUAUUAAUUUUUUAUUUAAAGGAAAAGAAUUUACUUAUAAAAUUUUAUUGUUGUUUUGUAUAAUUUUAUAAAAUUUAUUUAUAUUUUCUUUUAAUAAAAUGACCCGUAUUAAUAGGGGGGAAAAAUCGAGAUGGGACAUGGCGAUGGACUUUCUAAGCUUUGAUAAGAGUGUUUUGGAAGGGAAUGAGGGUAGUGGAAAGUUGAAAACUAUAAAACAGACAUGCAUAUGUCUGCAUUGAUUCUUGCAUGGAAAAUUCUCGUAUAAAGACUUGUGGGGUACGUCUUUAAAGACUUGUUUGUCCAGGUCAACAUCAAACAGACCUAUUGAUAUUACAGUGAAUGAAGAUAAUGAGGUUUAAUUUAAUAAUACUAAAAUUAAUUUUUUAAAAAAAUUGUAUAAUUUGAUUUGAGUUGUAUCACAAUCAACUGGGCUAAAAAAUCGAUAUUAGCAAAAAAAAAAAUUUCAAUUAAAUAUAAUUUUAAUCAAUUUUCAAAAUUAAAAUAAUAAAUUUAAAUAUUAUUUAAAAAUAUUAAAAAUAAUUAUCACAAUAUUAAAAUAACAGCAGAUAAUUAUUAUUUAUUUGAAUGUGAUUGAGUUCUUA
rnacentral:lncRNA from 1 species